rnacentral:sRNA from 1 species
AGAAUCAAUUAAUCCUAAAGCACUAUCAUGUUGUUGUAGUACAGAAGGUUGUCAAUCCAAAUGGGUGUGAUGCUAACAAUCAAGAUGUGAUCAGAAGUCACUAAGUCAAGCCAAGCAAUAACAGGGUUUUGUGUGUUCUAGCAGUCCUAAGUGAACAUGCAGAAAACAGAAAAUCAAACAGAAACAGUAAAACACUCGACCAACAUAGCUCUUUGUAGAGCACUGGGUGAGGUCGAGUGACAGGUCGAGUAACAGACAGAAAGUAUAACACAGAUACUCGACUGUACAAUCUGUUGCCAGACAACUGGGUGGUCGAGUAUGAGGUCGAGUAACAAGAAAGAAUUGCAGAAAUUAAGCAACAGAUGACAAGAUGCAGUAAACAACAGUAGAGUAAACAAAGAAUUCAAUCAGAUAAAGAAUUCCCGAGGAUAGGGUAAUUGAGUAGUUUCGUUUCCUCAUUUUACAGGUGAUUGACAUGCUCAAUAAAUUAUCCCUAGACAACAAGUUCAUUAACCAAAUCUAAGUGCCACCGCAACAGAGACCCUCAAGUUAUCCUAGUCCCAUACUCAAUCACCAUUGACGAGAGCUAACCUAACAGACAUUACGAAUCAACAAGUUAAAGCCAAAAUGCUCCCUGCAACCAAUACCUUG